rnacentral:rRNA from 1 species
AUACGGAGGAUGCAAGCGUUAUCCGGAUUUAUUGGGCUUAAAGGGUGCGUAGGCGGUACUGUAAGUCGGGGGUGAAAUACCGCGGCUUGACUGGAGCAUUGCCUUUGAAACUGACGUUCUUGAGUAUAGUUGAGGGUGGUGGAAUUUGGUGUGUAGCGGUGAAAUGCAUAGAUAUAGCAAAGAACGCCGAUUGCGAAGGCAGCUUACUAAGCUGUUACUGACGCUGAGGCACGAAAGCGUGGGGAUCAAACAGGAUUAGAUACCCUGGUAGUCCACGCUGUAAACGAUGAUUACUGGUUGUUAGCGAUAUAUAGCUAGUGACGGAGCGAAAGCAUUAAGUAAUCCGCCUGGGGAGUACGUCGGCAACGAUGAAACUCAAAUGAAUUGGCGGGG